rnacentral:rRNA from 1 species
UGAGCAACCUGCCCUUAGCUUUGGGAUAACCCUCGGAAACGGGGGCUAAUACCGAAUGUUCACUGCCGGGCGCAUGUUGGGUGGUGGAAAGUUUUUCGGCUGGGGAUGGGCUCGCGGCCUAUCAGCUUGUUGGUGGGGUGAUGGCCUACCAAGGCGAUGACGGGUAGCCGGCCUGAGAGGGCGACCGGCCACACUGGGACUGAGACACGGCCCAGACUCCUACGGGAGGCA